UACCAAAGUUGCCUCAGUCCAAACAAGGGGUAUCAACGUUUAAUGCUUGGAAGAAAUACGGGAGGAAAAAAUACUAAAAUAUACACAGAAGGGCGGCUUUCAAAAAUAACUAGUAUAACACAAGUGAACAUAAUUGUCAGUUUGAGAUGAACGUACUGUAUAAAUGAGUGGACAAACAGUCGUACAGAGCUCUUUGACCUCCACAAAGUGCCACAUCUUUUUUUAGAUGCAGAUACCAGAGGCUAAUACACUCUGGGAAAGGGUUUGAAAGUAUACAUGGUGGGUCAGGUUGAUCGAUUCCUGUCUGUAUGAGUGUGGUCAGUUUAAGUAGCUCUUGAUUACUUUAAUUGUAGCCUUUGGUUGAAGGCAAAAAGCUUUGAUGUGAAUUGCACACAAUUGGAGAGAUCAUACACAGCGAGGUUUGGCUCGGCUAUCCUAUUACCUACACAUUUGAAAGUCCCCUGUGUCGAUUAUUUUAGACAUAUUAUGAGCAAGCCUGUUUCCUGUGUGUGUGUGUGUGUUGUGUGUGUGUGCAGAGGGAAGGAGACAGACAGAGAGAGAAAGACCUUCCAAAAUUUCCAGACCUUUUUCUUUACUUCCUGAUCAGAAAAUGAUGAUGACACGAUAAUGACUUGGACAACUAAAACAUCUUGUAUUUGUGCUCUAUUCUUCCCAUGCUAAAAAAACCUGAACUUUACAGGCCCCAGAAAUCAGGUAUUACACCUCAAAAAUCAAAGGACAGAAGGGGGCUUUGUUUAAAAAAAAAAGACACACUGCUGCCAGAACACA